rnacentral:rRNA from 1 species
UACGUAGGGUGCAAGCGUUAAUCGGAAUACUGGGCGUAAAGCGUGCGCAGGCGGUUAUGCAAGACAGAUGUGAAAUCCCCGGGCUCAACCUGGGAACUGCAUUUGUGACUGCAUAGCUGGAGUGCGGCAGAGGGGGAUGGAAUUCCGCGUGUAGCAGUGAAAUGCGUAGAUAUGCGGAGGAACACCGAUGGCGAAGGCAAUCCCCUGGGCCUGCACUGACGCUCAUGCACGAAAGCGUGGGGAGCAAACAGG